rnacentral:rRNA from 1 species
AGUUAGAUCAUGACGCGAACGAACGCUGCUGGCAUGCCUAAUACAUGCAAGUCGAACGAGAAAGCUCUUCGGAGUGAGUACAGUGGCGCACGGUUGAGUAUAUCGUAGGUGACGUGCCUUUAGUGGGGGACAACAUCGUGAAAACAGUGCUAAUACCGCAUAAGUUAAGCGACAUUGAAAAAGCUUAAGAAAGUGGGCUCCGGCUCACGCUGAAAGAUCGGCCUGCGUGACAUUAGUUUGAUGGUGGGGUAACGGCCUACCAUGGCGACGAUGUCUAACUGGUCUGAGAGGAUGAUCAGUCCACUGGAACUGAGACACGGUCCAGACUCCUACGGGAGGCAGCAGUAGGUAAUAUUGCGCAAUGGGGAAACCCUGACGCAGCAAUGCCACGUGAGUGAGGAAGGCCCUUGGGUUGUAAAGCUCUGUCCUAUAGGAAGAACUACGUUACGGUUAAUACCCGUAGCGUUUGACGGACUAUAGAAGAAAGCACCGGCUAACUCCGUGCCAGCAGCCGCGGUAAUACGGAGGGUGCAAGCGUACUUCGGAUUUACUGGGCGUAACGCGCGCAGGCGGAUUAGCAAGUCAGAUGUGAAAUCCCGGUACUCAACCCCGGAACUGCGUCUGAAACUGUUAGUCUAGAGUCUCAUAGGGGGCAGGGGAAUUUCACGUGUAGGGGUAAAAUCCGUAGAGAUGUGAAGGAACACCCGUGGCGAAGGAUCCUGCCUGGAUGAGUACUGACGCUGAGGCGCGAAGCGUGGGGAGCAAACAGGAUUAGAUACCCUGGUAGUCCACGCCGUAACGAUGAGUACUAGCCCUUGGAGGUAUUGACCCAGUCAGGAGCGCAGCUAACGCAUUAAGUACUCCGCCUGGGAAGUACGGCCGCAAGGCUAAAACUCAAAGGAAUUGACGGGGGCCCGCACAAGCCCUGGAUUAUGUGGUUUAAUUCGAAGCAACGCGCAGAAUAUUACCUAGGCUUGAAAUCCUGCGAAUCUGGGGUAAUGCCCGGAGUGCCCGCAUCGGAAUGCAGUGACAGUGCUGCAUGAUUGUCGGCAGCUCGUGUUGUGAAAUGUUGGGUUAAGUCUCGCAACGAGCGCAACCCCUAUCUGUAGUUGCCAGCAUUAAGUUGGGCACUCUAGAGAGACUGCCCGGGUUAACCGGGAGGAAGGUGGCAGGACGUCAAGUCCUCAUGGCCCUUAUGUUAGGGCUACACACGUAAUACAAUGGUGCAAACAAAGGGAAGCGAGCGCGCGAGUGUUAGCAAAUCUCAAAAAUUGCAUCUCAGUCCGGAUUGGAGUCUGCAACUCGACUCCAUGAAGUUGGAAUCGCUGACUAUCGCGGAUCAGCACGCCGCGGUGAAUACGUUCCCGGGCCUUGUACACACCGCCCGUCACACCAUGGGAGUUGUUUUCAUCCUAAGACGUGACUCUAACUUCGGCUCGAGCGUCUACGGUGGGAGUGAUGACUGGGGUGAAGUCGUAACAAGGUAGCAGAA